ensembl:lncRNA
UGAAAGCUCUAGAUUAUGUGUCUCCUCAAGUCCGCAGUGGAAAGCAGGAGAAAGCCUCCAGGGUUAGAAGAAUGCAGAGGGUAAGAGUGAUUUAAACGGUCAUGUUCACUUGGGAGUAAUUUACCAUUGUUUGUGUGCAGUUGAUGUGUGUGAAAUAGUUGAGAGUUCUCAGUGUAUUCCUUUUUGCUCGAGUUUGCGGAAAGGUGUGAUUGCUAGUUACCCUAAGUGAUUUUGCAGGACACGGCGUGUGAAACUUUGCCAGUACUGUUUGUUCUCCUGGUGAUUGUGUGAGAGAGUUUUCAUGUUAUACUACACGUACUAUAUUCAUAAAUGCAUACGCUCACUGGUCACUUAUAUGAACACUUCUACACUUGCUCACUCAUGCAAUUGUCUUAAUCAGCUACAGGUCAAGUGAUUCAGUUAAUGUUCACAUCAAUUUCAGUGAUUUCAAGGACUUCACAUCUCAAAAAACAAAAAGUAAUCCAGUGGAAACACCUUGUUGUUCGAGGUCAGAAGGGAAUAGCCAGACUGGUUCAAGUUGUUCGUAAUGUAACUCAAAUAACAACUCUUUACAACUGUGGUUAGCAGGAAAGCAUUUCGGACAGAUGUUGAACCUUGAGGCAAUGGACACUAAAGCUACAGUGGGCAUAAGCACACUAAAACUAAACAGUUGAAGACUUGGGGGAUGUGGACUUUACAGACUUCAACAGUCCAGCUGGUUUACACGAAGUUCAUUUUAGUAAUGGUACUAGGGGUGUAACACAGUGACACUAUCUGUAUCUGUAUUCAGAUUUUAAACUGAAGUGGGCAAGGCCUAAACUGGAAGGAUGUUUGUUUUUAUUAAAUCUGAAACUUACUAGUAUGGUCCUGGAAACAAUGCAAAAAGGCCUGAGAGCAGAACAAUGUAAAAUAAAAUGAGUUCACUCAAACCGCUGUAUUUGUUCCCUGCAUGUUUUUUUUGCAUUACACACGUACAGCAAUUCUUUCCAGGAAUCCCGUUCACCAGAGUUAUAUCUCUGUGGAAUGGUGAGUUUCAAGGUAGAGUAUCAUUCAAUAUUUACUUCCACCCACCUGUUCCACAUUGCAUAACCGGCUGCAUGCCUCAAAGGAAGACUGCUGAAUGCCUGUUGGAGCAAAGCAUUUCCAGUGUAGAGGUGUUUUUGUCCCACUGAGGGGAGUGCAAUGUGUGAUUUUCUGACCUCCCGGGCAAGUGUGUGCGAUCACCCCACCUUUAACCCCCUAGGUAUGUGGAUCCUGCAAAGAAUCUCAACUAUUAUGUAAUCAGAGAUUGUGCAAGACAGACAAUUGAAUAUAAUUUCUUUAUAUUGUAGAGUAUAAAACACCAGUAGAUUUUUGUUUCAAGAGUGGAACAUGGUAAAAUGAGCAGCCUUGUUGAAACAUUAUUCAAAUGAAAGAGAAAAAAAAUGUAGGAAUAUUGCUAUUCUGAUAUUCCGGGCAAAGUAGGGUAUCAUCAUGUAGCAAACCAGAGUGCAAUUAAGGCAAGACAAAGUGAAUGUGGUGAUGUUUUUAAAUAAUAAAAAUCAUUGUUUAUAUUCUGGUGUUCUGAGAUUUGUUGUGUUAGAAUGUUUUCAAACAUUUGCAUUUAUUUCUGCAAAUGAGGCAUUGACUUAUUA